rnacentral:rRNA from 1 species
AUUGAACGCUGGCGGCAUGCUUUACACAUGCAAGUCGGACGAGUGGCGAACGGGUGAGUAACGCCUCGGAACGUACCGAGUAAUGGGGGAUAACUGCUCGAAAGGACAGCUAAUACCGCAUAUUAUUCGAGCGGCCGAUGUCGGAUUAGCUGGUUGGCGGGGUAACGGCCCACCUAGGCGACGAUCCUUAGCGGGUCUGAGAGGAUGACCCGCCACACUGGGACUGAGACACGGCCCAGACUCCUACGGGAGGCAGCAGUGGGGAAUUUUGCACAAUGGGCGCAAGCCUGAUCCAGCCAUGCCGCGUGUCUGAAGAAGGCCUUCGGGUUGUAAAGUAAUUUGGUCAGGGAAGCGUUACCUGAAGAAGAAGCACCGGCUAACUACGUGCCAGCAGCCGCGGUAAUAC